GUGAUUCUUAGUGAAAUUGGACCAGUCUAAGCAACCAGACAGGAGGAGGUGGCUUGCUGAAGGCAGUCUCACUGUGAGAACAGGAGGAGCAGCUGUUGAAAGAAGAGGAGAGAUAGCAAAACUGAAGUUUUGGUGAUAAAAUUAGAUUGAGAGAGAGGCCACUGAUGGAUUAAGUGGUAAGAUGGCUGCUGUGCCUCUGCUACCUGUUCUAUCCGCAUUCCAAGUCAGAAUGAAC